AAACAUUAACUGAAUGAAAACGGGUAGUCCUUGUUCUGCUUGGGGGGCUUUAAGGAAGCAAAUGGACUUUCAGAACAGAGAUUGUCAAUAAAGGUGUUGUGCCAUGUUAAAGACCCUCUUGUCAUUUUUAUUAUUCAUGGAUGGACGCUAAUUCUACAAGUCAGUUUAAGGAAUACCCUUCCUGAGGCCAAGAUGUGUCCUCUGGAAAGAUACCCAUGACACAGACCACAGUGGACACCAACUCAGAUACUGAGGGAAGGUUCCACGACA
rnacentral:lncRNA from 1 species